CCCAGAGAGAGCCUGCCCCAGCCGGAAAGCAGCUCUCUUCGCUCCAUACAUUCCUGCCUUUAUUGCUGUCUAAUGCCAACACAAGCAGGAAAACAACUUGGCACCAGCCCUCCCCCGGGUAAGUGGUGUUUUAAAAAUACAUAGGCUCGGUUGGGCUGCCAGAGCUGAGGGGAGGAAAAGGAGGGGCAGGAGAAGGGCUGGCAGAGAAGGUGGGGGCAGAGAGAGGAGGGAUGAAUGCAGCUGGUGGUGCACGUGGCUGGGGAGCAGAAGAGACUCGGAAGAUGCACUGAAAUAAAUAAAAACGACACAAGUUUGGCGCUAUCCCAACUCCACGCAGCUCUGAGAUCCCUGCCCUGCGCGAGAGGCCCUGUGUGCAGCGUCAGGAACAAGACUGAAGAAAGAUCAGGUGAGGCCACGCAGCCUGAGGGAGUGGGCAGGACGCUUUCCUGGACAGCAGUUCCUGUGAACUUUCUCUCGGCUCCAUUCCCUGCCCCGGAAGGUCAGAGGAGGGUUGUUGGAGCGACUCACUGGCCUCCUCUUCCCUGUCACAGCCACAGGAAGGUACGGCAGUAGGAACAGCUGUGGCUGUAUUUGCUGCACACGUAAUGAUUUCAGCCGACACGCACAGGGAACUUGUCUACACAAUGAGGAGUUAGCCUUUCUCUGCUGUAAUCAGCACCGCGCCGUUGAUGUCAAUGGAGCCCCCGCGAAGAGCUGGCUCUGAGAGUAAGAACAGGAUAUUUUUGUAAUUGAACACGUCUUUGUCUAGCAGCUUUCUGUGUGGUAAUCAGUGGUGGGAAAGUGAAUGGGAAAUGCACACUGUACACACGCGUUCCUACAGAGUCACAGGGCAAGACAGACAACGGUUACGUGAGUUUUAGAAGGAGAAAAGGAAAGGCACCAAGAAAUCCCUUCAAAGGGCUGGAAGGCUAUAACGGAACCAUUGGGAAACAGCUGCCAGGAGAAUGCCAACAGAAAAUGGGGUCGGUCCUGGGGCCGGUUUAGUUCAAUAUCUUCAUUAAUGAUCUGGAGGAUGGCGUGGACUGCACUCUCAGCAAGUUUGCAGAUGACACUAAACUGGGAGGAGUGGUAGAUACGCUGGAGGGUAGGGGUAGGAUACAGAGGGACCUAGACAAAUUAGAGGAUUGGGCCAAAAGAAACCUGAUGAGGUUCAACAAGGACAAGUGCAGAGUCCUGCACUUAGGACGGAAGAAUCCCAUGCACUGCUACAGACUAGGGACCGAGUGGCUAGGAAGCAGUUCUGCAGAGAAGGGCCUAGGGGUUAUAGUGGACGAGAAGCUGGAUAUGAGUCCACAGUGUGCCCUUGUUGCCAAGAAGGCUAACGGCAUUCUGGGCUGUAUAAGUAGGGGCAUUGCCAGCAGAUCGAGGGACAUGAUCGUUCCCCUUUAUUCGACAUUGGUGAGUACAUCUGGAGUACUGUGUCCA
rnacentral:lncRNA from 1 species